rnacentral:rRNA from 1 species
UACGGAAGAUGCGAGCGUUAUCCGGAUUUAUUGGGUUUAAAGGGAGCGUAGGCGGACUCUUAAGUCUGCGGUAAAAUGUCGGCGCCCAACGCCGUCCCGCCGUGGAAACUGGGAGUCUUGAAUGUGCACAGGGAAGGUGGAAUUCGUGGUGUAGCGGUGAAAUGCUUAGAUAUCACGAAGAACUCCGAUGGCGAAGGCAUCCUUCUGGGGCACGAUUGACGCUGAGGCUCGAAAGCGCGGGUAUCAAACA